AACCUGCAAAAACCAUUGUCAGCUAUGCCAAGAGUGAAAAGUGGCUACACUGGCCUGAAGUUCAGUUUCCAGUAUUUUCCCCAAUACUCAGUUUGUGGUAGUUUCCUCAAUAUUCAGUUUGUGAUAUGUUUCCAGGAUGAACUUCACCCACUCUUCCUUGCACCAUUGAUUUAAAGUUAAAUGUGUUCUGUCCCCUUCAGCAGAAAAGUAAGAACUUGUUUCUUCCCUUCUUUUUAAUUGUUCAUUUUAAUCUAAAUUAAAACCAAAAACCAAACCUGUUGCCAUCAAGUGGAUUCCUACUCAUAGCAACCCUUUAGGACAGAGUAGAGCACCCCAUAGGGUUUCCAAGGAACAGCUGGUAGAUUAGAACUGCUGAUCUUUUUGGUUAGCAGCCAAGCUCUUAACCACUGCUCAACCAGGGCUGCUUAAUCCAAGUUAAAAAGGCUGAGAAAUACAAGAGGCAUCAUGUGAAGGGUUGGGGAAACCCAGUGCACAUGAACUUGAUUCUCUGGCAUUUGAUCUACUCUUACGGUCUUCAGUCUGCCAGAAGGAUCCAUGUGCUUUCAACACAGACCUGAGGCAACUUGUACAUUAAUAGGAGAAUGAAAGCAGAAAUACUUCCCAAAUAAAAAUCCCCCAGGGGAGAAACCAUCUUAGGGAAAAAGGCACUACUCUACAGACUGCUCAUAUCUGGACUUGGAGGUGAUGUUGGAAUGGUCAAAUGGAAGCCCUAAAUAGUUAAAUCAGACUGCAAGAGAGUAUGUUUGGAGAUGUAUAGGAUGGAGUCAUCUAUAUGGAAGAGCACAAAAAAUCCACUAAGACACACGAGAGCUGCAGGGAAAAUCAAAAAGGAGGGUCACAGCACUGAGGGAGAUGGGCUUCCCAUGGCCUAAAUAAAUGAGACACCUUGGGCCUGGUCAUAAGGGAGUGUGAUGUCUUAUAAUGUAUCUCUGGGUGAGAAUGGUGUUCUGAAUUAUCACAAAACCCAUAAAGACUGAUAAGGUUGUCCGCCUAAAAAUGUAAGUCAAGUAUGAGUUUAAGAGCCUGAAAAUGGUGUGGAAAAUCCGCAUAAAGUUAUUGGUUGGUUACCUGGGGUGGGCGGGAAUUUCUGCAAGAGUAGAAAGGGUAGGGGAUGGGAGAAAAACAAUAAAGACCUUUCUUUUUUAAAGGAAGAAAAGCAGAGACAGAGAAGCAAAGAAAGGCAAAUUAAGCACGAUUUACCUAUGAAUUAACAACAUCACAUGGUCUCUCCUUUAAGUGAGGGUAAAGCUCCCUCCAUGUUCUCUGAAUUUCUGCUGUCUCUUUUUUUUUUCAGGCACAGAGCCAUACACUGAGGACCACUGGGUUCUAUGAAGUGGCCGCAUCACAGACAAGCUGUGUAAACGAGAUGGGAAGUCUCUGAGAAAGCCACCUGCCUCCAUUCUUCCCCUGACUCUGCCAUCCGCUCAGUAGCCAUCGGCUUUAUGGUCCUUUGCCUACUGGGUACAGGCUCCCUUGAUGCUGAAGUCACCCAGAUGCCAAGAUAUCUGCUCAAAAGGAAAGGACAGAAAGUGAACAUGGACUGCGUCCUGACGAUAAGACACAGCUGUGUUCACUGGUAUCAGCAGAUUCCAAUCAAAGAGUUCAAGUUCUUGAUUUCCUUCCAGAACAAAUAUGUCCUUAGCGGAAAUGAGAUGCCCAAGGAGAGAUUUUCAGCUGAGUGCCACCAAGACUCAGCCUGCAGCUUGGAGAUCCAGCUGGUGGCACUACAGGACUCAGCCAUGUAUCACUGUGCCAGCCGUCUGUCCACAUUGUGAAAGUUCAGCUAUUCUAGAUGCACAAGCUCAUGGUGGCCCAGUGCAGGAAGCAGGUGGCUUUCUGGCUGGAAGGAAGUAAGAGAAGCUAACUAGAGCUGCCCUUUGCCAACAGGGAGUUUACUGCAAGGCUGAAGACAUGUCCCACCUGAAAAAGACUCACCAGUUGCUGGUGUCAUGGAGACCCCACCUGUGCAGAGUAGAACUGCGCUCCAUAGCAUAGGGCUUUCAAGGCUGUGGCCUUUUAAAAGCAGAUUGCCAGGCCUUUCUUUCAAGGUACAUGUGGGUGGGUUCCAAUUGCCAGACUUUUGGUUAGUAGUCACACACUUAACCAUUUGUAUCAUCCAGGGACUCCAUAAAACAUCAAAAUAAGAGCAAAGAAAUUUCUCAGAAACAAUCUGGAAUGAAGUCUUACAACAAUGACAUGGCCGACUUUACAACUCAUUUGUUUUCUCACCUUGUUUGUGUCAUGAUUCUUCCUUAUUAUAAGUUGCCUUCUCCAUUUCUUAGAUCUCAUAGUACGUAGAAGAUUAUAGAUUCUGAUUGUAGUCUUCCAACCACAUUGAUAGGGACCAAUUUGACUUUCUCUCAACCUACGUUACAAAAUCCAGAAGAAAGGACAGAUUGGCUCUGCUUUUCUCAAGAACGUGCUCUUAGAAAACCCAACUCUAGUUACAGGGGUUGUGUCGUUUUGAACAGCGCACCUGGGGCCUGGCCCUUUGACUUUAUGGAUUAAGAAGGGAGGAUUUCAGGGAAAUGAAUUCCCAGAUUAGGCACCUGGGCACCCAAUAGGUGUCCAUUACAAGUCAGCAGGGGAAUUGUCAGUGUAUUUGCUGGAUACAGAGACCCCAGGAAAAGAGAAGGAAAUGGCAAGGAGAUCAAAUGUGAGUUUUCAGAACAGUGUCCAAGCCAGUGAAUGCUCCAGUUAAUCUCUUUUUAAGGGGUUAAACCUGGGCAGCAGAAAAAACAUACUAAUUUUAAGUGUGACAACCUCAGAAUCUGCGAAGUCACUUAUUGGUUUCUAUAAAGCUGAGGGAGAAGAGCAGACUAGUGUGUUAUCAGUGGGAAGGUACCGGAGGUGCAGACAAGUAAACAGUUCUCAGGUGUGUGAUUGAAAUGUAGUGGGGACAACACACUCAACAUCGAUACAGGUGUAGCGAGCCGCUGGGUUAUUAACUCACCUAGGUGGGUCAUUACAUUUACACAGAGCAGACCAAGAAUUCAACAUAGCUCUGUUAAAAUUAUGUAAUCCAUUCUGGCCACAAAACUGGCCAUUUCUAACCACCCCACCACUCAGCUACUCAGCUUUGAAAAAGUUAUAGGUUCUGUCUAGACACAUCUUCCUUUUUUCAAUAUAAGCUGAACUAAUUUGUCUUACCCUCAGAAGUCCAAACCUACUUCUUUUUUCAGACAAAAUUUCAUUCUGACCCCUUGAAACAGCAGCUCUCACUUUGCUGCUGUAAUUUUAUGGCCUCUUGUUAGAGCAUGAACAAAUCAGCCUCAGAAGAAACACAGCAAGAAUGUUCCUUAGAAGUGAGGAUGGAGAGUCUUCUACUCACACACUGUGAACCUAUCAUCAGGAAAGAGCAAUCAGUAGAAAAGGACAGCAAAGUAGAGGGUCAACAAAAAAGGUGGAGACCCUUAAUGAGAUGGGCUGACGAAACAGCCGAAAAAAUGGACACAAAUAUAACAACAAUGAUGAAGAUGGUGCAGGACCAGGCAACUUUUCAUUCUGUUAUACCUGAGGUUGCCAUGAGCCAGGGCCAACUUGAAAGCAGCUAAGAACAUUUCAAGUUCCUUUUCUAGCUCUCUAUAAAGAGUGUUCCUUAGCGCACCAUUCAUGGUCCCCUCCAAAUCCACUGUUAUUCCUGGUGGCUGAAACCUUUGCUCUUGUCACAGGGGAGUCACUCCUCUGGAUGCUCUUGUCAGCCUUCUCUUGGACUACUACUUCCACCCUGAUGAAACCUCUCUCCUAACAGUCCAAACUGCCUACAAUCAGAACAAAAGAUAUGAUUGCUCCUUUGCCUGCUUGACCUCUUUGAAGAAUUGGCAAUACUGACCGUACAAUAAGCCUGGAGAUCUCUCUCAGCUCAGGUACCUAUGAAGGACUCCAGGGGACUCUCCUGCUUGAGAAAGAUAAUGGGAUCACGUGGCAUCCUGCAUCGUACGCGACCAGAGUGUCUGUGAGCUCAUAUAGGCAAUCAAACCAUCACAGUAACUAGAAGGUAAAACAGACGGGCCAGUCAUGGAGGUGUGCCUGGGAGGUAUGGAGGUGUGCCUGGGAGGUAUGGAGGUGUGCCUGGGAGGUAUGGAGGUGUGCCUGGGAGGUAUGGAGGUGCCGCCCUCAGGGCAAAGGAGGAUGCAGAGGCCAUGAGAAGCAUGAGGAGGUGCACUGACUGACUCCUGUCUCCUGGCCUCAGUCUCCUCAUCUGCAGAAUUAGGGAGCCCGUCUUGAGUGGCUUCAGGGUCCCUGACACCUGUUCAUCUAGCCUUCUGAGGAAUUCAUAUAUUUGGCCAGGGAGUGCCCAGAGUGUUCUCCCUCCCUUCUCUCUCCAAGUGCUGGUGAUACCAGGAGACCCCACCCCAUGAUGGGCAGCCAGGUCCUCUGCUAUGUGGCCCUUUGUCUCUUGGGAACAGGCAUCACAGACUCUGGAAUCUCUCAGACCCCAAAAUACCUGGUCCGAGAGGAAGGACGGGACGUAAGCCUGGACUGUGAACAGAGUUUCGGUGAUGACGCCAUGUACUGGUACCAGCAGGACCCGGGGCAGGGGCUGAAGCUGGUCUACUGCUCUCCUGUGACAAAUGAUGUCCAGGAAGGAGAUGCAGCUGCAGGCUACAGCGCCUCUCGGGAGAAGAAGGAGCGCUUUCCCCUGGCGGUGACACUGGCCCAAAGGAACCAGACAGCUCUGUACCUCUGUGCCAGCAGCAAGCCACAGAGAAGCACAGCCGCCACCUCCCCGUGCAUAAACGUGUCCCAACCACAGGCCUAGGCAUUCUGUGUCCACACCCUGCCCUCCUCCUCCAGUCCAGGCAGGCACAUGAAACUGCUGCUGUGGUAUAAAAUGAACUAAAAGGAGGGUAUAUAAAAAUGAAAGUAAAAAGCUUCGGAGAAAACCCUCAGACUCUUUGCAACUGCUCUUUGUUUCUGGUAGUAAUCCUGCAGGUCAGGUAGCCCAGCACACUCAAAGCAGAAGGAAAUUCCCUAAAUUUCCUAGGACCCAUUUCCAUGGACCAAUACUCAACUAUGACGUCCACUACAGUAAAGUAACUCGAAUUAAUUAUCCUCCAGUCUCCACGUUGCUUUACACAGA